rnacentral:snRNA from 1 species
GUGCUCGCUUCGGCAGCACAUAUAUUAAAAAUUGGGAUGAUACAGAGAAGAUUAGCAUGGCCCCUGUGCAAGGAUGACACGCAAAUUCAUGAAGCAUUCCAUAUUUUU